GCCACGGUGAUGAAAUUGGCAAACAUUCGGCACUCAAAAUGCCGCGAGCGCAAGCUCUUGUGGGUUCAAGUCCCACCCGUGGCA
rnacentral:tRNA from 6 species